GCACUCUCACUUUCCCCUCAUUAUCCAUUAUUCUUUCUGACGGUGUCAAUUAUUCAGCAAGUUGCGUCGACACGUCGGCGUUUUCCUGAGAAGGAUGGAGGGAGUAGAAGAAGUCGCCAGAUUCACUAAUUCUUUAGAGCUUCUUCUUCUUCUUCGUCUUCAUCUCUUUUUAUUUUUCAUUCAUUUUCCACAUUCAGAAUCUGGU
ensembl:ncRNA T26H10.4 ncRNA